CCGGGACAAACCGCGCGGACGCCGCGUUACGGCGUUACGUUAUCAAUACUGCGGGCUCGCGCUCGCUCGCUACGACGAGUGUUCGGAAGCGGCCGUGCGUCGAGUGUCCGCGGGAGCGUGAACCGCUACGUUACGAUACCGUUGUACGAACAACUUCUCGGGCCGCCGACGAAAUCCGGCGGGACGUUUCGCGGGGUAGAG